GCGUCAGUCGCAAGAUGAAGCGUUGAAUUGAAGCCCGAGUAAACGGCGGCCGUAACUAUAACGGUCCUAAGGUAGCGAAAUUCCUCGUCGGUUAAAUACCGACCUGCAUGAAUGGCGUAACGAGAUGGGAGCUGUCUCAACCAGAGAUUCAGUGAAAUUGUAGUGGAGGUGAAAAUUCCUCCUACCCGCGGCAAGACGGAAAGACCCCGUGGACCUUUACUACAACUUAGCACUG
rnacentral:rRNA from 1 species